UUUUUUUUUUUUUUUUUUGGUACUGGGGAUCGAACUCGGGACCUUAUGCUUGAGAAGCAGGCGACGGAAUCACUGAGCUAAAUCCCCGGCCCAUCUGUGUAAUCUUUACACUUAGUCAUUCUAAAGCUGAGCACACACCCAGGAGAAAGGAGCCCUCUCAGGAAGGCGAAGUCCGAGCCCGGCCCAGAGAGUAUGUGAGGCCAGUUGACAACACAGUACUUGCAUUCAAAUUCCUUCUGAAAAGGUAAAGGGGCUGCGUACACUCAUGUAAAAGAUAAGAAUUUCCUUCUGAACAAGAAAUAAAAGAUUGUACAUUUUUCCAGGGACUCUGAAAUGGAUGUUGCAAGAGGCAACCUGGGGUGGUUUGUCAGAAGGAGCCCAAAAAAGUUCCAGGAAUAAGCAGUCCUUGGCCCAGUGGACCAGGCCCGAGACAGGGGAGGUGCCUCACCCAGAGGCCUGGGUGAUUACAAUGGGUUGGUGGGGGCCCUGGGUGUUCCUGACCCUGCUCCAGGGGGGCAGAGGUGACAUCCACCCCCUGGCAGUUUUGUCCUCAGAACUGAGUAGGCAGGAAUCCUUCCCAUGCACACAGCGUGACCCAGUGCUGGUCUCCGCUAGGCAGGCCCAGACGGGGAGGAAUGACAGACCUGUCAUGUGGUUUUGGAGCAGGAGGCAUAGUUCAGUUUCUGGUUGCCACAGUCCCACCCCUGACCUCCACAGGAUUGGACAGGGAGGAAAGGAGCCCCUGGCAGAUUGCCUGACAUUCCUGAGGCUGUGGAUUCAGCACCUUCCUAAGAGGGCAGCCAUGGGCCUGUCUGCCACCCCACCUUCCUUGAUGCUAGCUGAUUAUGGACUGAAACCUCUACAGACUGUGAGCUAAAUAAACCUUUUCUCCUUUAACUUUGGGUGUUGGGUAUUUUGUCUCAGCAAUGAGAAAAGUAACUAAGAUAGCAGAAUUCUGGGAUUUGGCCCUAGCCACUGCACACCUCUGAAAAUCAGGCCCUUGACUGUCCCUCCAACCCACAUCAUCCUGGAAUAUAGAACAUGGAGCUCACCACCUGCAAUCUCCAGGUAGUACUUGAAUUGCUGAGCAAACACUUGCUAUUGGCAAAAGUACAAAGCUCUGCAAAAGGUCCAACAGGAAAAACUAAACACAGAAGAACAGCAUCAGCUGGGUGGGGUGGGGGCACAGGAACUUUGAGGAGACCCUUGUGGCAGUGGCUGAGGUCGAGCUAGGGUGGGUCCUGGUCACAAGGGAUGGAGAGGCGGGGACCGAGGACGGUACACCUCUCAUCCCAUGCCUUGCUAGUGCUGUGCCUCUGGAAGGACUCGGUGCGCAAGCUAACCAUGGAUGUCUCCCUGACAGCCCGCCUUGCAUCCUGUGGCCAGUUGCUGCCACAUUCCCGAGCGAUUCCCCAUGAGACUCCUGGACACCACCUUGUCUGUGCCUGGCUGACGUCUGAACGCACCCGUGGGCACUGAGCACAAAGCUGUCACCAUUUACCUGAUGUAGAGGGAAUAGAUGUAACUUCCAAACCUGCUAGGUCAAAAGGACAAAAAGAAGUGGACAAAAAGAAGAGCUCUGAAUUCCAACUGUCCUUCAAUGGAAAAAUGCUUCACCACCAGGAAAUCCCAGUCAUCGAUCAAGCUCUUCCAGAACUAACUCUCCAUACUCCUCAUGCAGGAUAACCUUUGCUCCUCUGCCACGGAGUUCACCUUGUCAGUCCUCAUUGAAGGACCUGCCUGCUGAAGGUUCCAGGCAUACUGCUCAUCAUCGCUUUGCUUGGUGGUCACAGUCACUCUCUCAGCAACCAAGUGGAAACCCACACCUGACCGGCCAGUCAUGGAGUUGUCAGUGCCAACCUGCAAAGCCUCCAUGAAGGCCUUGGUCUCCAACUUGGUGAUGGUGCUGAAGUCAUCCAUCAAGUUAACCCUGGUCAUUCCGAUCCCAGUAUCCACGAUGGCUUUCAUACCUAAUUUUGUCCAGAGCAUCUGACGAAUUUGGAAUCAAUCCCUCAGGAAGAUCUCUUUGAGUAGAAAGUGUUGUUGAUCAGUGACAUCAACUGGGCAAUUUCUGCCUGGAAGGUGAAUGUCUCUACCUCCUCCUCCUCCUCCUCCUCCAUGAGCUGGUCCUGGGUGAGUCUCCCCAGCAUCUUGGCUAAGCAACCCAUGGGAUCUGCAACAUAGCAGCUCUGAGAUGCUGAAGCAACUGGCCCAUCCCC
rnacentral:lncRNA from 1 species